rnacentral:rRNA from 1 species
CCUACGGGAGACAGCAGUGAGGAAUAUUGGUCAAUGGCCGGAAGGCUGAACCAGCCAAGCCGCGUGAAGGACGAAGGUGCCAAGCAUUGUAAACUUCUUUUGUCAAGGGACAAAAUCAGGCUCGAGAGCCUGACCGAGGGUACUUGAAGAAAAAGCAUCGGCUAACUCCGUGCCAGCAGCCGCGGUAAUACGGAGGAUGCGAGCGUUAUCCGGAUGUAUUGGGUUUAAAGGGUGCGUAGGCGGACUGUUAAGUCAGCGGUAAAAGCCCGGGGCUCAACCCCGGCGAGCCGUUGAAACUGGCUGUCUUGAGAUGUCGAGAGGUAUGCGGAAUGCGCAGUGUAGCGGUGAAAUGCAUAGAUAUCACGCAGAACUCCGAUUGCGAAGGCAGCAUACCGGCGCUCAACUGACGCUCAUGCACGAAAGCGUGGGUAUCGAACAGGAUUAGAUACCCGUGUAGUC